UACGUAGGGUGCGAGCGUUGUCCGGAAUUACUGGGCGUAAAGAGCUCGUAGGUGGUUUGUCGCGUUGUUCGUGAAAACUCACAACUCAAUUGUGGGCGUGCGGGCGAUACGGGCAGACUGGAGUACUGCAGGGGAGACUGGAAUUCCUGGUGUAGCGGUGGAAUGCGCAGAUAUCAGGAGGAACACCGGUGGCGAAGGCGGGUCUCUGGGCAGUAACUGACGCUGAGGCACGAAAGCGUGGGGAGCAAACAGG
rnacentral:rRNA from 1 species